AACAAGGAAAUUGCCAUUGAAACUGUUAGACUUGAGAAUGGACGAGGUAGGCGGAAUUCGUAGUGUAGCGGUGAAAUGCAUAGAUAUUACGAAGAACUCCAAUAGUGUAGACUGCUUACCAGACCAUAUCUGACACUAAGGCACGAAAGUGUGGGUAUCAAACAGGAUUAGAUACCCUGGUAGUCCACACAGUAAACGAUGAAUACUAACUGUUUGCGAUAUACAGCAAGUGGUCGAGCGAAAGCGUUAAGUAUUCCACCUGGGAAGUAUGCCGGCAACGGUGAAACUCAAAGGAAUUGACGGGGGCCCGCACAAGCGGAGGAACAUGUGGUUUAAUUCGAUAAUACGCGAGGAACCUUACCCGGGCUCGAACGAUAUUUGAAUACAUCCGAAAAGAUGUAGCUAGCAAUAGCAAAUACCGAGGUGCUGCAUGGUUGUCGUCAGCUCGUGCCGUGAGGUGUCGACUUAAGUGUCAUAACGAGCGCAACCCUUACCGAUAGUUACCAUCAGAUAAUGCUGGGGACUCUAUUGGGACUGCCACCGUAAGGUGUGAGGAAGGAGAGGAUGACGUCAAAUCAGCACGGCCCUUAUGUCCGGGGCGACACACGUGUUACAAUGGGAGAAACAAAGGGUCGCUACCUGGCAACAGGAUGCUAAUCUCGAAAAUCUCUCUCAGUUCGGAUUGGAGUCUGCAACUCGACUCCAUGAAGCUGGAUUCGCUAGUAAUCGCACAUCAGCCAUGGUGCGGUGAAUACGUUCCCGGGCCUUGUACACACCGCCCGUCAAGCCAUGGAAGCUGGAAGUACCUGAAGUAUGUAACUGAAAAGAGCGUCCU
rnacentral:rRNA from 1 species